rnacentral:misc_RNA from 1 species
AUCGUCUGCAUAUAUGUG